CGAUUUACAAACACAUUCACAACUUUUUAGUCAUCUCACCCACACACUUACAAAUUUUUUGUUCGAACUGUCAAAAAAAUGUCCCUUUGUUAGAGCUACAUACCCGAUAAGAAUUCGUACUCUAAUAAGAAUUCUAUGCGUUAGAGCGAGCAAGUUAGAAACAUCGGAGUUUUGAUGACAGUAUACAUACUGUGAAGAAAUUUCACUUUGCGGAAAUUUUGAAGACUGCAAAACACCAGCGACUUUAGUCACAUUCUUAAGUUUUGGGAUUCACCAUCAGCACCUUCAACGCUU